CCCUUUGGGGUGUGACUGCGUACCUUUUGUAUAAUGGGUCAGCGACUUAUAUUCUGUAGCAAGGUUAACCGUAUAGGGGAGCCGUAGGGAAACCGAGUCUUAACCGGGCGUUAAGUUGCAGGGUAUAGACCCGAAACCCGGUGAUCUAGCCAUGGGCAGGUUGAAGGUUGGGUAACACUAACUGGAGGACCGAACCGACUAAUGUUGAAAAAUUAGCGGAUGACCUGUGGCUGGGGGUGAAAGGCCAAUCAAACCGGGAGAUAGCUGGUUCUCCCCGAAAGCUAUUUAGGUAGCGCCUCGUGAAUUCAUCUCCGGGGGUAGAGCACUGUUUCGGCUAGGGGGCCAUCCCGGCUUACCAACCCGAUGCAAACUGCGAAUACCGGAGAAUGUUAUCACGGGAGACACACGGCGGGUGCUAACGUCCGUCGUGAAGAGGGAAACAACCCAGACCGCCAGCUAAGGUCCCAAAGUCAUGGUUAAGUGGGAAACGAUGUGGGAAGGCCCAGACAGCCAGGAUGUUGGCUUAGAAGCAGCCAUCAUUUAAAGAAAGCGUAAUAGCUCACUGGUCGAGUCGGCCUGCGCGGAAGAUGUAACGGGGCUAAACCAUGCACCGAAGCUGCGGCAGCGAACGUAUCACCCAAGACAACUUUACGGAGUUGACGAUUGACGGAGCGAAGCGACGUCAAAGCGUUCAUUAAAGUCGAGUUGGCUUAGGGAUACGUUCGUUGGGUAGGGGAGCGUUCUGUAAGCCUGUGAAGGUGUGUCGUGAGGCAUGCUGGAGGUAUCAGAAGUGCGAAUGCUGACAUAAGUAACGAUAAAGCGGGUGAAAAGCCCGCUCGCCGGAAGACCAAGGGUUCCUGUCCAACGUUAAUCGGGGCAGGGUGAGUCGACCCCUAAGGCGAGGCCGAAAGGCGUAGUCGAUGGGAAACGGGUUAAUAUUCCCGUACUUGGUGUUACUGCGAAGGGGGGACGGAGAAGGCUAUGUUGGCCGGGCGACGGUUGUCCCGGUUUAAGCGUGUAGGUGUGUGUUCCAGGUAAAUCCGGUUCACUUUAACACUGAGGCGUGACGACGAGGCACUACGGUGCUGAAGCAACAAAUGCCCUGCUUCCAGGAAAAGCCUCUAAGCAUCAGGUAACAUCAAAUCGUACCCCAAACCGACACAGGUGGUCAGGUAGAGAAUACCAAGGCGCUUGAGAGAACUCGGGUGAAGGAACUAGGCAAAAUGGUGCCGUAACUUCGGGAGAAGGCACGCUGACACGUAGGUGAAGUGAUUUACUCAUGGAGCUGAAGUCAGUCGAAGAUACCAGCUGGCUGCAACUGUUUAUUAAAAACACAGCACUGUGCAAACACGAAAGUGGACGUAUACGGUGUGACGCCUGCCCGGUGCCGGAAGGUUAAUUGAUGGGGUCAGCGCAAGCGAAGCUCCUGAUCGAAGCCCCGGUAAACGGCGGCCGUAACUAUAACGGUCCUAAGGUAGCGAAAUUCCUUGUCGGGUAAGUUCCGACCUGCACGAAUGGCGUAAUGAUGGCCAGGCUGUCUCCACCCGAGACUCAGUGAAAUUGAACUCGCUGUGAAGAUGCAGUGUACCCGCGGCAAGACGGAAAGACCCCGUGAACCUUUACUAUAGCUUGACACUGAACAUUGAGCCUUGAUGUGUAGGAUAGGUGGGAGGCUUUGAAGUGUGGACGCCAGUCUGCAUGGAGCCGACCUUGAAAUACCACCCUUUAAUGUUUGAUGUUCUAACGUGGACCCGUUACCCGGGUUGCGGACAGUGUCUGGUGGGUAGUUUGACUGGGGCGGUCUCCUCCUAAAGAGUAACGGAGGAGCACGAAGGUUGGCUAAUCCUGGUCGGACAUCAGGAGGUUAGUGCAAUGGCAUAAGCCAGCUUGACUGCGAGCGUGACGGCGCGAGCAGGUGCGAAAGCAGGUCAUAGUGAUCCGGUGGUUCUGAAUGGAAGGGCCAUCGCUCAACGGAUAAAAGGUACUCCGGGGAUAACAGGCUGAUACCGCCCAAGAGUUCAUAUCGACGGCGGUGUUUGGCACCUCGAUGUCGGCUCAUCACAUCCUGGGGCUGAAGUAGGUCCCAAGGGUAUGGCUGUUCGCCAUUUAAAGUGGUACGCGAGCUGGGUUUAGAACGUCGUGAGACAGUUCGGUCCCUAUCUGCCGUGGGCGCUGGAGAACUGAGGGGGGCUGCUCCUAGUACGAGAGGACCGGAGUGGACGCAUCACUGGUGUUCGGGUUGUCAUGCCAAUGGCACUGCCCGGUAGCUAAAUGCGGAAGAGAUAAGUGCUGAAAGCAUCUAAGCACGAAACUUGCCCCGAG
rnacentral:rRNA from 1 species